UUGGCUCUUAACCAAGUGGUCGUGGGUUCGAGCCCCACGGUGGGCG
rnacentral:tRNA from 1 species